AGGGUCUCUCACUGAACCCUGAAGUUGCUUCAGGGAAACUAAGAAAUACCAGGCCUGCCUGGAGGAGGUGGACCUUCAGAGGAAAGCGCUCCCUCAAAAGUCAGGUUAAAGAAUUAGAAGGCAGGAAAGAUAAAGACACAGCAGAUAUCAGCAGGGAAAAUCUCAGAUGCAGCAGACAGAAUCAGCC